CCCAGUAAUAAUCCACUUACUGCUACUAACCCAUACGAAACAAAUAGGCGACGAAAACAGAAAAAGAAAAUAAUACUAAUAAUAAUAGUGCGGCCGCAGCAGCAAUUACACCACUUCUCCUUGUAGUCAAUUUCAGAAUCUGCCGCCAUAUUAUCGCCAUCGCCCACCACUAAUCACCGAUUUAAUCAAAUCCAUCAAUCUGACGGACUCCGCUUCUCUCUCCUCCCUCGCUUCUGCUUCCCCCGCCGGGGAUGCCGAUGCUGAGGCCACUCGACCACCAUCGCCUGCGCCUUCACCCCCUUCGGUGGAAACAUCAUCCGAGCUACCGCAAUCACUAUCGCCGCUAUCAGACAUUAUGAUAGCUAAUAGAGAUCCCGAUGCUCUCUUUAGCGGCGGUGGCAUCAGCUUUCUAUCUGGAAGCCGCACUGCAAAAUUCAGUUAUGGAUAUUCGAGUUUUAAGGGCAAAAGGUCUUCCAUGGAGGAUUUCUAUGAGACAAGGAUAUCGGAAGUUGAUGGCCAAAUGGUUGCUUUCUUUGGUGUUUUUGAUGGUCAUGGAGGAGCAAGAACCGCCGAAUAUCUUAAAAACAACCUUUUCAGGAACUUAAGCAGUCAUCCAGAUUUUAUCAAAGAUACAAAGACAGCGAUUGUUGAAGUGUUUAGACAGACGGAUGCAGAUUACCUCAAUGAAGAAAAAGGACAUCAAAAAGAUGCUGGGUCAACUGCGUCAACUGCCGUUCUCCUGGGGGACCGGCUGCUUGUUGCAAAUGUUGGUGAUUCUAGAGUGGUUGCUAGUAGAGCUGGUUCAGCUAUUCCUCUGUCUAUCGAUCACAAACCUGAUAGGUCUGAUGAGCGCCAAAGGAUUGAAGAGGCUGGAGGUUUCAUUAUAUGGGCAGGAACGUGGCGAGUUGGUGGCGUUCUUGCUGUCUCCCGUGCAUUUGGUGACAAACUACUUAAGCCAUAUGUUGUUGCUGAACCAGAAAUUCAGGAAGAAGAAAUUGAUGGUGUGGAUUUUAUAAUCGUUGCAAGUGAUGGGCUUUGGAAUGUCUUAUCAAAUCAGUUGCUCUAGUGCGAGAUAUAGCAGACGCAGAAGCAGCAUCAAGAAAACUAAUACAAGAAGCUUACGCAAGGGGGAGUUCUGACAACAUUACUUGUGUCGUUGUUCGGUUUGACAAUUCAUGAGUGGGAACAAAUCAUCAAGCUUUUAAGAACCAUUAAGUAGCAUCCGAGCCAGAAUUGGAAGAAGUUUCCAUCAGUGAUUUAUAUUUUUCUUUUUUUUCUUUCUUUCUUUUAGAUAGACUGUUAAAAUAGCUGAUCAACUAACAGCCGAAUUUUCAAGUUGUUAGUAUUGAUCCAUGUAUUAUUUAUUUAUGGUUUGCUUCUUGUUCUCAUUAAUACCUUGGAGGUGAAAGAUUGGUAUUAUGUUGUGCUAUUUGAGUCACCAUCCAUUUUAAAUGGGGCCUUGCUCAAGAGAACAUCGUUCAAUGUUCUGGUUUUA